ensembl:lncRNA
CUUGAGUCCCAGCAACCCCAUGCAGCGCUACAAGCUCGGGGCAGAGUGGACGGUGUACGUGGUGGGAAAAGAUCUGGGGGCGUCAGUCAACAGCCAGCAGUGUGCCAGUGUCAGCGUGUGCCAGCAGCGUGCCCAGACAGCCAAGAAAGCCAACGGCAUCCUGGCUUGUAUCAGAAUAGCGUCGCCAGCAGGACCAGGGAUGUGAUUGUUCCUCCGUGCGUGGCAACAGAGAGGCCGCACCUGGAGUAGCAUGUUCAGUUUUGGGCCCUUCUCUGCAAGGAAGACGCUGAGGUGCAGGAGCGUGUCCAGAGAAGGGCAGUGAAGCUGGUGAAGGCUGUGGAGCACAAGUCUUACGGGAAGCGGCUGAGGGAGCUGGGCUGUUCAGUCUGGAGGAGGCUCAGGGGAGACCGUGUCGCUCUCUACAACAACCCGGAGGGAGGUUGUAGCAAGGUGGGGGUUGGCCUCUCCUCCCAGGUGACAGCAACAGGACAAGAAGGAACGGCCUUAAGUUGCACCGAAGGGAGGUGCAGGUUGGAUAUGGGACAAUUUUUUCUUUGAAAGAAUGGCCAAGCACUGGAACAGUCUUCGCUGGGCAGGGAAGUGGUGGAGUCGCCGUCUCUGGAGGUGUUCAGGAAAUGUGUAGAUGUGUCACUUGGGGACAUGGCUUACUGCACUGGGUGGCGAUGGGGUGACAGCUGGACGGUUGGAUGCAGGGCGACAUAAGAUAUGCAGGCGGAAUCCUUGGGAAACGUAGAGAUCAAAUGGAAGAGAUUAGGUUAUUGGGAAGACAAAUCAGUGGGAUGUGGACCUCAACUGCCUCCGCCUCAGAGCGGCCCUGGUAACAUGACGGCGGCCAGCAAGAUGGCGGCCAGGCGUGUGCAGGCAUGGGGUGGGCAGGAGGAGGCAGAGUGCCCGUGCUCAGGCUCCGCCCCACAGCGUGUCACGGUUCGGAGGGCGGGAGGGCAGCAUUGUGAUGUCAGCAUGCUCAAGCUGUGAGUUCAGAGGGGUGGUCCCACCUCUGCCAUUGCGGUUGUGACCAGCGUUUAGCGAUGGUUGACAGCAGCUCUCUCUUUGUCCCUGUAACCCUUGUCCUUCUCUAUGGCCUCCUGUUCCUGGUGGCCGGAGUCUCCCUGCUCACCGUGACCCGACACCUGCAGGCCGGCAGACGACGCUUGCGGUGGAGGAAAUGGUGGCAGCAAGCAGUGGCACCGGAGCCAGGUGCCGAGAGACAGGCGGCCGGGCACUGGAGCCCCUGCAGUGAGGCCGACGAGGAGCUCCAGCAGCUGCUGCUGUCAGGGCUGCCUGGGCACAGGCCUGUGCUGGGCCCUGACUUCAUGCAGGCGGCCUGGAGGAGCCUGGAGGAGCUGGUGGAGCGGAACAGCCUGUCAUGCCACUGCUGCAGCUCCCCUGAGGUCCAGAGCUGUCCCGGAAACGGCAAAGUUGACGCCUCGAACGUGCCCCGCAGAUCUGCGUGGAGAGCUGAAACCCAUAAAGCCCUCAAAAUGCACGUGGCCCGGAAAAGCCUGGAAGUGCAACUGGGGGCCCUGCCCGAACGGCUCUUGCUCUCCCAGCAGCAGGCAAGGGGAAGACAAUGCCG